UACCACUGAGCUAAAUCCCCAGCCCCUC
rnacentral:piRNA from 1 species